rnacentral:rRNA from 1 species
GUCUAUUCUGCCCAUUGAAUAAAAAUUUAAAAGGCCGCAGUAUUCUGACUGUGCAAAGGUAGCAUAAUCAUUAGUUUUUUAAUUGAAGGCUUGUAUGAAUGAUUGGACAAGAAUUAAGCUGUCUCUUUCAAUAGUGUUUGAAUUUUAUUUUUAAGUGAAAAAGCUUAAAUAAUUAAGAAAGACGAUAAGACCCUAUAAAUCUUUAUGUAAAUUAAUUUUUAAAUUAAAAUAUAAGGUUAACUAGAUUUAAAGAAUUAAUUCAUUGUGCUGGGGCGGUAGUGAUAAAAAGAAUAAACUGUCAUUUAAAGAAACAAAUAUUUUUGUGAGAUAAAAGAUCCCAAAAUUUGGAUUUAAAGUGAAAGUUACUUUAGGGAUAACAGCAUAAUUUCUUUUGAGAGUCCAAAUCGAAAAAGAAGCUUGUGACCUCGAUGUUGAAUUAAGAGAUCCU